CUCUGCAAAGGCCAAAUUUAGGCAUUGGUUGGAUACCUUUGAAACUAAUUCAGAGAGCUGAAGUUUCGCUGCUUCCAGACCAACCACACCAAUGUUCUGCUUUCCAAGCGUCUCCUGAGCUUUUUCUAGGACUGCCUGAAGGUGAAAGGCCAUUCUGUUUGAAUUGGAAGUAGACAGGAUCAAGUACCUCAAGCUGCUCGUGUAGCCUUCUUUGGACUUCGAUUUGCAUCUGCAAAGCUUCGUUUAUAUGGGAAGAUUCUGUUGACUGGAGCAUCAUAAAAAUUUAGUAUUCGAUAUGGACAAGCGAAAAUUAAGAAGAUGCUUAAAUUGGGAAAUUGUUUGAGGGGAAAGUAUGGAAUAUGGAAUACAUACUAUUGUAUCUCUUUCAGUAAGUAUGGUACUUAUUCAACCCACUCACUGUAAUUACAUGGGUGGACCUCAAUCUUUCUCAAUGCUGUUUUGCUUGAGCAACUAGUCCCACACUGUUAAUAUAAGAGACUAAGCGUCCUGUACACAAGUUGAGUAUUAUACUUGUUUCUUUGCUUUACUCAAAGAUGUGUCUUUCAUCCGUGUAGGACCCAAUUACCUUGCACUUGACUUGUUAUGUGAUUCUUUCCAAUCUCCACGUAUAAUACUACUCUGUUUUCCUUUAUUUAAUAUCUGAAGAUAUCUCUCUAUAGAUAUUUCCGUGUCAAUUAAUUGAGUUCGUGCAUGAAUCAUCUUCUUCAUGUUAUGUCCUGCAGAUAUAGCACAUGCAUAUUUGCAUCUUGAAUGGUGCAGCAUGUUUGCUAUUAUAUUUUGAAUUAACUUAUGUAUUUUCUCUCUUCUUGCUGUCUUUUACAUAUAUUAUGUCCUUCUAGCUAUGCAUACAAAUUAUACCGAAAAUUUCCAUCUUUUGAUGACUACAUUCUCCUUGUUUGGUCUGUUACACUUAGACACGGAGAAACACUCUUGAAGGCCUCUGGAACACUAUCAGUUAGGACAGGUUAGGUAUAAAAAUUAUAAUGGUUGUACAUCUGGGUACUCGCUUUUUACCUGGUUGAAUUUACUGUGGCUAUCUUUUGCCAAAGCCGUAUGAUUCUCCCCAUUUGAAAGAGGGGGAUUUAUAAGAAAAUUUGUGGACCAAUUAUGCCAAUUGGAUGUCUCGUCCAGUCCAGUCCAGUCCAGUCCAGUCCAGUCCAGUUAUUAAGGAUCAAACUUAUAUGACAAGGGGAAGGGAGCGUCAUUGCACUCAAGCGAGAGAGGGGCUCUCUCUUGGUUGUUGAAUGUUGAUGCUCUUAGGAAGAAAUGAGGUAUGCAUGGUGUAAGUGAUCCUUUGUACUAGAGACUAGAGAGGUGAAGUUGAAGUGUUGAACACAAACAUGUGUGAAGAUGCUUGAUGAUUGCUGCUUCUUGACCACACAAAGGUGGCCCUAGGUCUCCAAUGAAAAAGUGAGAAAUGACCACGGAAUGAUAUUCCUUGUUGUAAAGAAAGUGAGGGAUAGAUAGAAGUAUAUUUAUUUUUAUUUUAUUUAAUUAUAUUUUUGUCCCAAAAUUCUGUAAGAAUAGGAAUAUGAGAAUCAUGACUCAAAGUAGAGCCGGUGGGUUUUAUUCUCAAGUUUAGAAUUUUUUGUAUUUAUUCUCACAAAUUGAAACCACUAAAAAUGGGUGCGCACCUGUACUUUCAUCCUUUACCUAUAGAUGUCUUAGUUUUCUUUUCUUUUCUUUUUAACAAUGUUCAUGAUUGAUACUGAAGACAGAUAUGAAUUAUGAUGAACAACAUUUUCCUAUAAUUGAUAGAGAUAAGAGAUA